CCUUUGCAAUGUCGUCAUUACGGCAGCCGCUUCGGGCUCGCGGCGGAGGGUAGAGGAUUUCUGUCAUACGGCCCAGUAUAUUUUCACAAAAUAUUCAACUGUAGGAAUGAUCAUCCACAUUGCAUUCGUUAUCCAGCUAACAUCGGCGAUCCUUUGUGGGGGUGGGGUGAGUGAGGGCUGCUGUGAGGAUCCCACACUGUGGGGCAGCCACACACUGAAUGGUGUCUCCCACAAUGAAGGCGUUGGUGGAUGCAGUCUGGGUGGUGUGGAGCAUCGGGGCCUCAAUCUAUGACUACAUUCACACCAGUGCCAUGGAAGAACGCAUUCACUCACUGGAGAGUGCUAUAACCAUCCACCAGUGUGUCAUUGGCCUGCUGUCUGCUGGACUUGUGGCCCUCUUCACCUACAUUCUGCUAAGGAAGCACUGACCCAAAAUUUCAGCCAUUUUUUGUGUGCAAGGCUACAUCAGUGACAUCAGAGGAAAUUUUGGAACCAUGUUGAUGUCAAGCAAUGUUCAGUUCAUUUUAAAGGAAUUUUAACAUGCCUUUCACCUAAUUGGUUACUAAACUUUAUUAGUUUCUAAUUCUGUUGAAAUUUCCCUACUGUAUUAUCAGAGUUGAUGUGAUUCAGUGUAAUCUGGUAAACCAAAAUAAGCGUGUCUCUUAAUUAAAAAUAUGGCUACCACAGACGAAAGGAUUCAGAGAUGCUACCUGCCCCC